GACGUAGGGCGCGAGCGUUGUCCGGAUUUAUUGGGCGUAAAGAGCUCGUAGGCGGCUUGUCGCGUCGUUCGUGAAAACUCACAGCUCAACUGUGAGCUUGCGGUCGAUACGGGCAGGCUAGAGUUCGGUAGGGGAGACUGGAAUUCCUGGUGUAGCGGUGAAAUGCGCAGAUAUCAGGAGGAACACCAAUGGCGAAAGCAGCUUUCUGGGACGGUACUGACGCUGAGACGCGAAAGCGUGGGGAGCGAACAGG
rnacentral:rRNA from 1 species